rnacentral:tRNA from 1 species
GGCUCGUUGGUCAAGCGGUUAAGACACGGCCCUUUCACGGCUGUAAAAGGGGUUCGAUUCCCCUACGAGUCA